GCGACACACACACACACACGAUGAGUCAUGACAUGUCAAAGAAGACGAUUGAAACAACUUGAACAACUUAAAAAAACAGUUUUUAUUUCAAGUCAGACAUUUUUAACCUUCUCUACAGAUAGAUGAACCAGACCUUUUCAUUUCUACUCACAUGAGUCAUGCUGUGCUCCUCCAUGAGGAACCUCUUUGUGUUUGAGCUGCACCUGAAGGGAGCAAAGAGAUGAUCUCCUCUUUUCAUUUCUUCACCAGAUUGAAGGAGUGAAAACUACAAGACACAAGAAGUUUAGUCAUUACCAAAGUUCUGUAUAAAUUCAAACAAUAAACUAAUACAAGUUGUUGCUAAUGCUAAGCUACAUGCUAAUGCUAAACCUUAACUUCAGUACAGGAACUUACAUUUCUGUUGCUGCUUGCUGUGUGCAGAUUAGAGAAAGAACCCUGAACUUCCUGUUUCCUUUAUAACUUCCUGUUCCCUGAAUGAUCCAUGUAAACAGUUCUCUAGUGACUUCACUGAUGCUCCAUAUUUUACUUGAGCUCCUUUUAACUUUGAACCAUAUUAUCCUGAUAUAUGAUUGACCAUGUGUAUAUAUAAUAAAUCAAAUCUUAUGUCAUGGUGGGAA